rnacentral:misc_RNA from 1 species
GCUACAUCAGCACCAUCGGGGUGGACUUCAAGAUCCGAACCAUCGAGCUGGAUGGCAAAACUAUCAAACUUCAGAUCUGGGACACAGCGGGCCAGGAACGGUUCCGGACCAUCACUUCCAGCUACUACCGGGGGGCUCACGGCAUCAUCGUGGUAUACGACGUCACAGACCAGGAAUCCUACGCCAAUGUGAAGCAGUGGC